CUCUGCGGUGGACUCCGUGCGGAUACACACAUCGAACGCGCACUUUCCAGUCCUAACGGCUCCUUCAGUUUUCAAAUUUCUCGUUGAUGAAGUGGAAGACGAAACAGCGGCGUCUGAAGGCUGACUGUCAUUCACAAGUGGCUCCAGUCUGGUUUGGUGGUUCUGCCAUCCAAGUAAAGUUAUUCACAAGUGGCUCCAGUCUGGUUUGGGGGUCUACGCUUUCUCAUCCUGUCCUGCCACCCAAGUGAAGUUAUUCACAAGUGGCUCCAGUCUGGUUUGGGGGUCUACGCUUUCUCAUCCUGUCCUGCCACCCAAGUG